rnacentral:misc_RNA from 1 species
CCGUUUCCGUCGUCCAGCGCUGGAACCAGGCCCGAAACAGCAGGAAGCCGCCCACAAGCGCCAGAAGCACGCUCAAUGCCAACAGCGGAAAGAUGACCCCGCCGCCUGAGCCGAGCAGACAGGCCGCGGAGGCCGCCAGGCAAACCAGUCCCGGGAGAUAGACAAUCCCGUGAAUCGUUGUGGAAUACAGAAUUUUCUCGCCCGGCUGCAGGAUAUCGUCGAUAUAGCGGCCCAUUCCCGUCCCGUGUU